UACGUAGGGUGCGAGCGUUGUCCGGAAUUAUUGGGCGUAAAGAGCUUGUAGGCGGUUUGUCGCGUCUGCUGUGAAAAUCCGAGGCUCAACCUCGGACUUGCAGUGGGUACGGGCAGACUAGAGUGUGGUAGGGGAGACUGGAAUUCCUGGUGUAGCGGUGAAAUGCGCAGAUAUCAGGAGGAACACCGGUGGCGAAGGCGGCACUCUGGGCCGGUACUGACGCUGAGGAGCGAAAGCGUGGGGAGCGAACAGG
rnacentral:rRNA from 1 species